rnacentral:rRNA from 1 species
CACCUUUCGGGGUGAGUGGCGGACGGGUGAGUAACGCGUGAGAAUCUGCCUUCAGGUCGGGGACAACCACUGGAAACGGUGGCUAAUACCGGAUAUGCCGCAACGUGAAAGAUUUAUCGCCUGAAGAGGAGCUCGCGUCUGAUUAGCUAGUUGGUGGGGUAAAAGCUCACCAAGGCGACGAUCAGUAGCUGGUCUGAGAGGAUGAUCAGCCACACUGGGACUGAGACACGGCCCAGACUCCUACGGGAGGCAGCAGUGGGGAAUUUUCCGCAAUGGGCGAAAGCCUGACGGAGCAAGACCGCGUGAGGGAGGAAGGCUCUUGGGUUGUAAACCUCUUUUCUCAGGGAAGAACACAAUGACGGUACCUGAGGAAUCAGCCUCGGCUAACUCCGUGCCAGCAGCCGCGGUAAUACGGAGGAGGCAAGCGUUAUCCGGAAUUAUUGGGCGUAAAGCGUCCGCAGGUGGCACUUCAAGUCUGUCGUCAAAGACUGGGGCUUAACCCUGGAAAGGCGGUGGAAACUGAAGCGCUAGAGUGUGGUAGGGGUAGAGGGAAUUCCCGGUGUAGCGGUGAAAUGCGUAGAGAUCGGGAAGAACAUCGGUGGCGA